GGGUUUAUCUGGGAUGGUUACAGAAUUGACUUUCUGUAACCCGGUAGAGACAUCUGUCAUCGUGCCCCUUGAGUACUGUCUGUGUGGAGCACAGUCAGUUCUCUCUUCGCAGUGAGUCAGAGAGGCAGCCAGACUCUGAGGAGAGUGAGGAGAGACUUACCCCAGAGGACAUGGAGGUGCCCUUUAUGAGUGACCAUAUUGCAGACAGAGGGGUGACUAACAUUGGCCUCAAGCUGUAUGCUCUCCGUCAUGCCUUCUCUGACAUUGUGAUGCAGUUGGCAGCAGCUAACAACAGCUGCGCCAUUACAACUUCUUUGAUGUGUUUUGUGAGCUGCUUCUCUUCAGAUGCAUCAACAGCAACUCACCUCCUAACGCAUUUGAGGGAGGAUUCUUAGAACGCCUGUUUGCACUCAUCAACAUGUGGAACGUGGACGUGUGGGAGCCUGCAGCAGAGCGUUACUUCUCAGUGC